GACGAACGCUGGCGGCGUGCCUAAUACAUGCAAGUCGAACGCAGUGGGGACGGGUGAGUAACACGUGGGUAACCUCCCAUCAGAGGGGAUAACACUUGGAAACAGGUGCUAAACUGAUACUGAUGGAUGGACCCGCGGUGCAUUAGCUAGUUGGUGGGGAAACGGCUUACCAAGGCCACGAUGCAUAGCGGACCUGAGAGGGUGAUCAGCCACACGGGGACUGAGACACGGCCCAGACUCCUACGGGAGGCAGCAGUAGGGAAUCUUCGGCAAUGGACGAAAGUCUGACCGAGCAACGCCGCGGGAGUGAAGAAGGUUUUCGGAUCGUAAAGCUCUGUUGUUAGAGAGGCGGUAUCUAACCAGAAAGCCCCGGCUAACUACGUGCCAGCAGCCGCGGUAAUUC
rnacentral:rRNA from 1 species